rnacentral:rRNA from 1 species
UAAAGUUGUUGCGGCUAAAAAGCUCGUAGUUGGAUUUCUGUUGAGGACGACUGGUCCGCUCUAUGAGCGUGCAUCUAGUUUGGCCUUGGCAUCCGCUCUGCAUACGUAUCUGCGCUUGAUUGCGUGGUGCGGAGGUAGGGCCUUUUACUUUGAGGAAAUUAGAGUGUUCACGGCAGGCAAUCGCCUUGAAUAUAUUAGCAUGGAAUAAUAACAUAGGAUCUUGGUUCUAUUUUGUUGGUUUCUAGAGCUAGGAUAAGGAUUAAUAGGGACAAUUGGGGGUAUUCGUAUUGUGGUGUCAGAGGUGGAAUUCUUGGAUUACUACACGACGAACUACUGCGAAAGCAUUUGCCAAGGAUGUUUUCAUUGAUCAAGAACGAAAGUAAGGGGAUCGAAGACGAUUAGAUACCGUCGUAGUCUUUACCAUAAACUAUGCCAACUAGAGAUGGGGCGUCGUUCUUACAUGACUCGCUCCGCACCUCAUGAGAAAUCAAAGUUUUUGGGUUCCGGGGGGAGUAUGGUCGCAAGGCUGAAACUUAAAGGAAUUGACG